GACGAACGCUGGCGGCGUGCUUAACACAUGCAAGUCGAACGGAAAGGCCCUGCUUUUGUGGGGUGCUCGAGUGGCGAACGGGUGAGUAACACGUGAGUAACCUGCCCUGGACUUUGGGAUAACUUCAGGAAACUGGGGCUAAUACCGGAUAGGAGCUCCUGCUGCAUGGUGGGGGUUGGAAAGUUUCGGCGGUUGGGGAUGGACUCGCGGCUUAUCAGCUUGUUGGUGGGGUAGUGGCUUACCAAGGCUUUGACGGGUAGCCGGCCUGAGAGGGUGGCCGGCCACCUUGGGACUGAGAUACGGCCCAGACUCCUACGGGAGACAGCAGUGGGGAAUAUUGCACAAUGGGCGGAAGCCUGAUGCAGCAGCGCCGCGUGCGGGAUGACGGCCUUCGGGUUGUAAACCGCUUUAGCCUGUGACGAAGCGUGAGUGACGGUAAUGGGUAAAGAAGCACCGGCUAACUACGUG
rnacentral:rRNA from 1 species